CAGUCGCCGCGGGAAUACGGAGGGUGCAAGCGUUAAUCGGAAUUACUGGGCGUAAAGCGUGCGUAGGCGGUUCGUUAAGUCUGUUGUGAAAGCCCCGGGCUCAACCUGGGAAUGGCAAUGGAUACUGGCGAGCUAGAGUGUGUCAGAGGAUGGUGGAAUUCCCGGUGUAGCGGUGAAAUGCGUAGAGAUCGGGAGGAAUAUCAGUGGCGAAGGCGGCCAUCUGGGACAACACUGACGCUGAGACACGAAAGCGUGGGGAGCAAACAGGAUUAGAUACCCGCGUAGUCCCUGUCUCUUAUAA
rnacentral:rRNA from 1 species